GCCCGGGUGGCGGAACUGGAAUACGCGCCCCGUUCAGGGCGGGGUCCCGCAAGGGUUGGAGGUUCGAAUCCUCUCCCGGGCA
rnacentral:tRNA from 1 species